ACAGCUAACUUAGGUCUAUAUAUUAUAACGUUACAGUAUGUUUACACAGAAAACAGUAAAGUUGAAAACGUUUGCUUUCUGUGAACUGGCCAUAAGUGCUAAAUACAGUUACGUUCACACACAGUUCAGUAAUAAACAAGCGUAACACCCCUACAUUUUAAGGACUCACAACCAUAUUUCCAUUAACUCGUGGAUUUAUAACCCGGACUGGUUCAAAUCACACAACGUGUGCGCGCGUCUCGUGUGUGGUGCGUGCUUUAGUUUCGGAAACUUACAGACGUAACAUACAUUAUAUAAACAGUGUGUCAUUCGAAGGUUUUAGAUCCAAUCUUCCACUGGAGCAGUUCCCGUCCGCUUUGUGGUCCAGUUGCUGUACCUCAAACUCCUGCUUUCCAUUAAUCAAGAUUUGGCAGACAUUAUUUCUAAGAGUGUUGAUUGGAGACAAACAGAGCAUUCAUUGCUUCUUCAUCUCCACCUGCCGUAGCCAUGGAAAUUCCUCCCAAUCCAGAGCCUAGGAAAUGCAGGGAGGCUGGGAAUGACCCGGAGCCCUCCUUCCAACUCUCUCACACACACGGCAUGAUUCAAAUGAGCGAGGCAGUGUUGCAAGCAUCUGUAGGCCUACAGCAGCCAGAAAGAGAGACUGCCAAAGAGGCCUCCAGGACCCAAAGCUCCUUAGACCCCAUAUUGGUACCCAGCCUCCAUGCCUUGUAAACCGAAUUGCAAUUUCUUCCCAUCUCCUCUCUAACACAUUCUGCAACACCAAAUAUAGCUGCCUAUUUCCAGCUCCCCGGCUCUAACGCGUAUCCUCCCCCUCAGCUGUCUUGCAAACGGGGCAUCUAAUCUGCUUUCUUCUUCAACACUCGCUUGCAUUGUAAACCAAUCCAAGAAAAUAUGAAGGGAGAGGGUGGAAGGUGCAAGGAUGUGAGAAAUACUAUAAAAAAGAGAGUGAAAAGAAACAGAGCAAGGCCGAAAGAGAACGGGGGAAAGGAGAGGAUGACCUACAAUUGCCCACAGUGUGAACCAUCUCCCUUUGAAGAACACAAAAACUGCUCAGAGACAAGGAAAGCCAGACCAGCCGUGAUGUGUGAAACGCACAGCAGAAGAGGAGUGCAGAUUGAGUUGUGUAAGGUAGAAACCAUAAUUCUGACCGGGAGAGUGACCGGGUGGACACCAGUAGAGGGAGUGUAUGAAGAGUGGACUGCACAUGAAACCAACCUAUACGCCACUUCCUGAGAAGAAUUUCCUCAAUACAGAGACACUCCCUAAAGCCGCACACAAUGCAUCCAGCAGCAACCAACACUGCAAGCUUCUGAAGGAGAGCAGGCCAUGUUUGUUUUGCGUUCCAAUCAUAGUCCUGUACGUCUGAGCUUGUAUGCGUAAACUAUAUGUAU